rnacentral:rRNA from 1 species
CCCAGAUAACGCUGGCGGCGUGCCUAAUACAUGCAAGUCGAGCGAACAGACAAGGAGCUUGCUCCUUUGACGUUAGCGGCGGACGGGUGAGUAACACGUGGGUAACCUACCUUUAAGACUGGGAUAACUUCGGGAAACCGGAGCUAAUACCGGAUAAUAUUUCGAACCGCAUGGUUCGAUAGUGAAAGAUGGUUUUGCUAUCACUUAUAGAUGGACCCGCGCCGUAUUAGCUAGUUGGUAAGGUAACGGCUUACCAAGGCGACGAUACGUAGCCGACCUGAGAGGGUGAUCGGCCACACUGGAACUGAGACACGGUCCAGACUCCUACGGGAGGCAGCAGUAGGGAAUCUUCCGCAAUGGGCGAAAGCCUGACGGAGCAACGCCGCGUGAGUGAUGAAGGUCUUCGGAUCGUAAAACUCUGUUAUUAGGGAAGAACAUACGUGUAAGUAACUAUGCACGUCUUGACGGUACCUAAUCAGAAAGCCACGGCUAACUACGUGCCAGCAGCCGCGGUAAUACGUAGGUGGCAAGCGUUAUCCGGAAUUAUUGGGCGUAAAGCGCGCGUAGGCGGUUUUUUAAGUCUGAUGUGAAAGCCCACGGCUCAACCGUGGAGGGUCAUUGGAAACUGGAAAACUUGAGUGCAGAAGAGGAAAGUGGAAUUCCAUGUGUAGCGGUGAAAUGCGCAGAGAUAUGGAGGAACACCAGUGGCGAAGGCGACUUUCUGGUCUGUAACUGACGCUGAUGUGCGAAAGCGUGGGGAUCAAACAGGAUUAGAUACCCUGGUAGUCCACGCCGUAAACGAUGAGUGCUAAGUGUUAGGGGGUUUCCGCCCCUUAGUGCUGCAGCUAACGCAUUAAGCACUCCGCCUGGGGAGUACGACCGCAAGGUUGAAACUCAAAGGAAUUGACGGGGACCCGCACAAGCGGUGGAGCAUGUGGUUUAAUUCGAAGCAACGCGAAGAACCUUACCAAAUCUUGACAUCCUUUGACAACUCUAGAGAUAGAGCCUUCCCCUUCGGGGGACAAAGUGACAGGUGGUGCAUGGUUGUCGUCAGCUCGUGUCGUGAGAUGUUGGGUUAAGUCCCGCAACGAGCGCAACCCUUAAGCUUAGUUGCCAUCAUUAAGUUGGGCACUCUAAGUUGACUGCCGGUGACAAACCGGAGGAAGGUGGGGAUGACGUCAAAUCAUCAUGCCCCUUAUGAUUUGGGCUACACACGUGCUACAAUGGACAAUACAAAGGGCAGCGAAACCGCGAGGUCAAGCAAAUCCCAUAAAGUUGUUCUCAGUUCGGAUUGUAGUCUGCAACUCGACUACAUGAAGCUGGAAUCGCUAGUAAUCGUAGAUCAGCAUGCUACGGUGAAUACGUUCCCGGGUCUUGUACACACCGCCCGUCACACCACGAGAGUUUGUAACACCCGAAGCCGGUGGAGUAACCAUUUGGAGCUAGCCGUCGAAGGUGGGACAAAUGAUUGGGGUGAAGUCUACAAGGGAAAAAA